UUACAACAUUAUUACAAGCCUAGUGAUGAAACAAAUUACAAAGUGAUAGGAAUAACAAUAGUGGGCCUAAGACAUGUCCAAAGUAUACCCAGCCCAGCCAGAUCUUCAAUUUCAUAUCCAUAUAGGUUCCACCAUAGCCCAUGAUUCACAAUCAAUCCAAUAAAAAAUAGCCAAAACCCAGUAGCCACAGUUGAUCAAAGGUCCAGAAAACAGCCAUUUACACAAGCUCAUUGGCUUAUUCAGUAGAUGAAAAAGGGCAGAAUGAAGCAGUUAGGACAAAAUGCCAAGGAACAUUAGACCUUAGUGUGUCAUAGUUCACAAGGGUCUCAAUCGGACCUCGAGUAGUGCUAACACUAGGGAGAUCAAUGAUAGAACCUGGGUAGCCUUGGCUUUCAGCCGGCUAAGAACGAGAACUCAAAAGAACCCAGGUAACAAGUGAAGGAGAAUAAACUAAGGUUGAGAGAUAACAUUGAGGGAUGCAAACACAGUCAAAUUGAGUACAUAGAGCAGAUAAUCGAACAUGCUUUAGGUUUUAAGAACAGACUUGGCAAAGAUUCAGAAGAACACGUUUAACACGUAGUGCAUGAGUAGUCACACAUUAAUAGAAUAGGUUUGCAGGAUUGGUUUACACAGACUCGCAGUAAGGAAAAAAUUCAAAUUACGCUAAGUAUAGGUCCAAGUCUUACAAGAGAGAAUCAUAUUAAUUGGCAACAGAACUAAGACAUGAUGAGAACAAAUCAUUGCAACUACUAGGAAGUCAAGGAAGUCAAGAUAUACCAGAAGCAUACUAACCGGGAACAAGAUCAAACAUGCUAUGUAAGGCAAGAUAUCAUCACAGGAAAUUCAAAAUAGGAUAAGAAACAAGCUUGUGCUAUAUAGUGAAUGAAUACAAUCAACUAGUCUAAAAAGGGAUACGAAUUAUGUAAGCAAAGUAUGUUCAAGUAAAAGGAUUGAUAGCAAAAUUAAACACCAAAGAGAGGCUAAAGUGCGAAGGUUCUAAAAAUCAGUAAGUUGCAACACAUAGUCUAGAUAAGCUUGAAAAGAAUUUAAUUAACUCAAAUCAGGUUUAGGCAUGUUUCAGAUUACCAACAUAAUAAAGUCAAAGGUUAAAAAGACCCAAAAUUGAAGUAAAACAAUCGGAGUUGCACACAAGAACAACCCUGAAAAAUACAUUAAACUACAACCUCUAGAAGUGAAAACAUAUCAAAUGACAGGUAAAUAGGAAUGAAGUGGCAAAAGUCCAGCAACUCACCAGUUAAGCGAAAAAACAAGAAAGAACAAAAGUCUACAGUUUUUGAAUAUCAACGAAGAGCAAGAACCUAGAAUUUCAGCGACCUUAGCUUUCAGCCGGCCAAGAACCAGAAUAUAGAACAAGAGAAUUAGAGAACAAAGAGCAAUAACUUAGUUUUCAGCAAACACUUUAAUGAUUCUAGUCUCUCUUAAAAGGAAAUGGGGAGGGGUUUAUAUAGCAGUAAAAUCGGAUGUACAAACAAUGAAAAUAAUUGAUUAAACACGGGUACGGAAAGAAAUCAAGUAAACACCGAUGAAGAAAAGGGAGCGAUCUCGCAUGCAAGUCAGUGAAACAACAUAAAAGGAAAAGUAUCAAACACCAAACCCUAGUUAGGGUUUUAAACUCGAAAUCGGACAACUGGUAUGAAGGAUCCAGUGCAUCUCGCGUAUAUGGACAGAAUAUCAUGCAAAUCUUCAAGAUUGAGUCAAUUCUCAUCCGAUAUAGAGGUGAUAUUUGCAAAAAUUAGGAAAAUAUCUACGUAAUACCAAAAUCGAGUAACCAGUACCAAAGGAACCCAAAUAUGGUAAGCAAAUAAUGGUAAAAUCUCAUUAUCAAUAGGAUUAGGAGAGGAUUUAGGGGGCGGCGAUUAGGGUUUUGGUUUGAGAGAUGAAAUGAUUCAAGGGCUUCAUCUGAGACAAAAUGGUAGGGUCUUGGGCUAGCUAGGUUAAUCAAAA
rnacentral:lncRNA from 1 species